rnacentral:misc_RNA from 1 species
AAUUCUCAACCUAUCUGGCUUUUUCAAGUUAGUUAGGCUUGGACUUUGGAGGUUGCUGGCUUCUCAGAAGUCAGCUCUUCUUAAAUGCAUUAGCAAAGUCUUUGCUGACCAUCUUUGGUAUGAUAAUUAUCUAUACCAUCGAGAAUCAGCUUUCCAUCUUGGAAGGGUUUUGCUUCUAAUCGUCUACAUAGACAACUUGACC